AUUGAACGCUGGCGGCAGGCCUAACACAUGCAAGUCGAACGAGUGGCGGACGGGUGAGUAAUGUCUGGGAAACUGCCUGAUGGAGGGGGAUAACUACUGGAAACGGUAGCUAAUACCGCAUACCAUCGGAUGUGCCCAGAUGGGAUUAGCUUGUUGGUGGGGUAACGGCUCACCAAGGCGACGAUCCCUAGCUGGUCUGAGAGGAUGACCAGCCACACUGGAACUGAGACACGGUCCAGACUCCUACGGGAGGCAGCAGUGGGGAAUAUUGGACAAUGGGCGAAAGCCUGAUCCAGCCAUGCCGCGUGUGUGAAGAAGGUCUUCGGAUUGUAAAGCACUUUAAGUUGGGAGGCGUUACCAACAGAAUAAGCACCGGCUAACUUCGUGCCAGCAGCCGCGGUAAUUC
rnacentral:rRNA from 1 species